rnacentral:rRNA from 1 species
AUGAAAAUUCUGAUGUUGAACUACAUGCAUCCUGAUCCUUUCUCUGUUUUCUCUGAACCAGAAAUGCCACAUGAAGAACUAAGGAUAUCAAGAAGCUUUUGGAUUUAUGCAAGCUUGGAGCUGCUGUUUUAUAGAAAUGGCAUGUGUAGAAAUAGAAUAACCAAGGAUAUAAAGAAGCUUUUGGAUAUAGGCAAGCUUGGAGCUGCUGUUUUAAUGUCAUGCUUUAAUGGUUGUCUUUUGGAGCUGUUGUUUCUAUCAGUAAUCCUUUUAAGUCUGUUGGCUGUACCGGACUAUUUAAAGUCUGAACUACGCUGUGAUGGUUGA